CAGACGUCAUUCAGCUUAGCAGUGGAUGGCGAGACGAAAGUCGGUUCUAGCGUACAUUUGAGCCACCAUGGUGUGUGCCAAAAAUGAAAGAAAAGUUACCCCGGGGAUAAUUGAGUCGUUGCCGGCAAGAGUACAUAUCGACCCGGCAGCUUGCUACCUAGAUGUCGGUUCUUUCCAUCCUGGCCGUUCAGCAGCGGCCAAGGGUGAGGUUGUUCGCCUAUUAAAGGAGAUCGUGAGCUGGGUUUAGACCGUCGUGAGACAGGUUUGUUGCUUUUUGGUGGAAGUGUUUUGAUGCCUGACGGGAAGGAUCCUUUAGUACGAGAGGAACAGGGAUUCGUCGCCUCUAGUCCAUCAGUUGUCUGGCAAGGCACUGCUGAGCAGCCACGCGAUAAGGGAUAAGAGCUGAACGCAUCUAAGCUCGAAACUCCCCCGGAAAAGAGGCAUCUUUAGGACACUCAUAAAUGAUGAGAUUGAUAGGAUUGGGGUGUAAGCACCAAGGUUCGCCGAGGUGUUCAGCCCGCAAUUACUAACGUUCGCGUCGUGAAAGUG
rnacentral:rRNA from 1 species